UGAAAGAUCGGUUCCCGGAUGAUCACUGAAGUUAAGCAACUUUGAGCCUGGUCAGUACCUAGACGGGUAACCGCUUGGGAAUACCAGGUCCUGUAAG